rnacentral:rRNA from 1 species
UACGUAGGGUGCGAGCGUUAAUCGGAAUUACUGGGCGUAAAGCGUGCGCAGGCGGUUCUCCAAGUCCGUUGUGAAAGCCCCGGGCUCAACCUGGGAAUGGCAGUGGAAACUAGGGGACUUGAAUCUGGCAGAAGGGGGUGGAAUUCCACGUGUAGCAGUGAAAUGCGUAGAGAUGUGGAGGAACACCGAUGGCGAAGGCAGCCCCCUGGGCUGAGAUUGACGCUCAGGCACGAAAGCGUGGGGAGCAAACAGG